CUAACUCUCACUAUCUUUUUCCCUUUCUAUCUCUUUUUUCUGCUCUCUUCUAUCUUUUCAUCUUACAUGCUCUCUCUCUCUCUUUUUUUACAGUAGUAGGCCUAGAGACACGUCGGCAGAUUGUUAAAAUAGAUCCUCCUUCAUCCUCAUCUCUACUCAUUUUACCACUAACUAUAUUGGAUAAACUAAUGACCGUUUACCUGAAAUAACAAUUUAACCAAAAAGGUAGACAAUUAAAGAAGGGUAACACUCAAAUUUAUUUAUGGUGUGGGAAAGGAGCAAACCAAUAGCUAUACUAGUUGUUGACCAUGGAUAAGGCGCAAAGAAUAAGGAUUGAAAAGAAAAGGAAAACCAGCUGAUUGUGAUACAACGAGAUACCAUCAUCAACAAUAGAUAUAUUGGCAUGAAAAGAAAUUAUAAAUUUUAUAAGAAAUGAUUCCGAUUUAUGAUGAGAUUUUUGGUAAAAGGCAACAAUAACACAAAAAGAGAGGAAUCACCGACAUGAUCGUCAUCAACAUCAUCAGUAUCAUUUAAAGGACAAUGUGAAGAUUCACAAAAAAAAAGAAGCAACCAAAGGAAGGAUGAAAGGAUAGAGAGGAAGGGGGAGGUUGAAAUGACAUGUAUGAAAUGUAUCUUGUUGACAAAGGAUAAGUAAAGGAGCCAGUAGCUAAUAUCAAACCAAGACCACCAUCAGUCAAUUUCAAACUCACCAGGGAAUCUUCUCUUCUUUUUUCAUCAUCCUUUCUUUAACUUAUUUCCCUGUAAUGUCUUCUUCUUCAUCGUCAUCAUCAUCUCCUUACCAUACCUUGUCUUGAGACGUUGAGACUUUAUAUACAAACAUUUACCAAAUGUAUACUGUGAAUGAUGAAUUUGUAAUAAUAUUAAAGUCAGGUCAACAGACAAGGUAGGUUAGGACGCUGAGCAGAGUUUUAUGUUGUUUUUUGUGUUUAUAUCUAUUUUUUAACUUUCUUUUUCCUCUCACUCUGUUUAUAUAUUGUUACUCCAAGUAGUAGUAGUCGUAAUCGCAGUCGUAGUGAUUGAAGAAGAUGAUAAUGAUGAUGAAAAAGAAGAAGAAAUCAGGAGAAGUUGAAAAAAUUUACAAAAAAAGUCUGCAUAACUGAAAGGUUGAAGAGACACGAUAGAUUAUUGAAGAUGGAUUUAAUAUGUUACUGUUUAAUGUAUUUAAAAUGUGGUAAACCAUUGGAAAGUCCUUGAUAAUCAAUAUCCAUCAUUAAUUUUCAUCCCUGUGAACUCAUCAAUAUUAAAUGUUAUCUGUUUAAGAAAUCUGAACACAAAAUAGAGAGAAAAGCUGAAAUAA